rnacentral:tRNA from 1 species
GCCCAUGUAGCUCAGCGGUAGAGCAGCGCAUUCGUAAUGCGCAAGUCGCCGGUUCGAAUCCGGCCAUGGGCU